UUUUUUUUUUUUUUUUGAGAUGGAGUCUUGCUCUGUCACCCAGGCUGGAGAAGGGAGACAAUUUAAUAUGGAGAGAACCACCUUUGCAAUCAUUAUUACAUAUAUGAAAUGAUUCAAAUCUUCAAGAUGGGGUGUCAAUUAGAGUAAGUUCUUCUAUAAUACACAAAUCUAUCAAAACUCUAAUAAAGGAGAACUACCAAAUGAUCCAGCUAUCUUGCUUCUGGAUACAUAUGCAAAAGAUUUGAAAUCAGUGUAUUGAAGAGAUAUCAGUACUCCUAUGUUCACUGUAGCACUAGUCACAAUAGCCAAGGUGUGGAAUCAAACUAAGUGUCCAUCAGUAGAUAAACAGACACAGAAAACGUGGUGUGUAUAUAUACACAAUGGAAUACUAUUGAGCCUUAAAAAGAAGGAUGUUCUGUCAUUUGAGACAACAUGGUUGAACCUGGAAGACAGUAUGUUAACUGAAAUACACUAGGCACAGAAAUAAAAAUUCUGAAUCAUCUCACAUAUAUGUGAAAUCUAAAAAAGUCAAACUCAUAGAAGCAGAGAGUAGAAUGGUGACUACUGGGGCUGGGUGGGGUAGGAGGUGAGGAUGGGGAGAUGUUGGUCAAAGGGUACAAAGUUUCAAUUAGAGGGGAAAAUAACUUUUUGAGGUCUAUUGCACAGCAUGGUAACUAUAGUUAAUAACAAUGUAUUGCAAAAUUCUAAGUUGCUGUGUUUCUUUGUUUUUAAUUAAUUUUUUAAAUUGACAAUAAUUGUAGAUAUCAGGUUGGCUGGCAAGAUGGCUGAAUAAGAACAGUUCCAGUCUGCAGCUCCCAGCAAGAUAGACGUGGAAGGUGAGUGAUUUCUGCAUUUACAACUGAGGUACUCGGUUCAUCUCACUGGGACUGGUUGGACAGUGGGUGCAGCCCACAGAGGGCGAGCUGAAGCAGGGUGGGCUCACCUUGAUCCUCACCAGGGAAGCUCAAGGGGUCAGGAGAUUUCCCUUUCCUAGCCAAAGGAAGCCGUGACAGACUGUACUGGGAGAAACAGUACACUCCGGCCCAGAUACUGCGCUUUUCCAGUGGUCUUCGCAACCAGCAGACCAGGAGAUUCCCUCAGGUGCCUAGCUCAGCAGGUCCCACCUGCGUGGAGCCCAGCAAGCUCAGAUCCACUGGCUUGAAAUUCUCGCUGCUAGCACAGCAGUCUGAGGUUGACCUGAAACACUCGAGCUUGGCGGGGGAAGCCGAGUCUGACAUUGCUGAGGCUUGAGUAGGCAGUUUUACCCUCACAGUGUAAACAAAGUUGCCAGGGAAGUUCGAAUUGGGCGGAGCUCACCACAGCUCAGCAAGACCGACUGCCUCUCUAGUUUCCUCCUCUCUGGGCAGGGCAUCUCUGAAAAAAGGCAGCAGCUGCAGUCAGGGACUUACAGAUAAAACCCCCAUCUCCCUGGGACAGAGCACCUGGGGGAAGGGCCAGCUGUGGGCAUGGCUUCAGCAGACUUAAACAUCCCUGCUUGACAGC
rnacentral:lncRNA from 1 species